rnacentral:rRNA from 1 species
GAUAAACGCUGGCGGCGUGCUUCAGGCAUGCAAGUCGAACGGACCUUCGGGUCAGUGGCGGACGGGUGAGUAACACGUAAGCAACCUGCCCAGAAGUGGGGAAUAACCCACCGAAAGGUGAGCUAAUACCGCAUGUGAUGGAUCUUCCCUGGAGGGUUCAUUAAAGGCUUCGGUCGCUUCUGGAGGGGCUUGCGUUCGAUUAGCUAGUUGGUGGGGUAAUGGCCUACCAAGGCUGCGAUCGAUAGCUGGUCUGAGAGGACGGACAGCCACACGGGGACUGAGAUACGGCCCCGACUCCUACGGGAGGCAGCAGCUAGGAAUCUUGGGAAUGGGCGAAAGCCUGACCCAGCAACGCCGCGUGGGCGAUGAAGGCCUUCGGGUCGUAAAGCCCUUUUGAGGGGGACGAUGAUGACGGUACCCCUCGAAUAAGCCACGGCUAACUACGUGCCAGCAGCCGCGGUAAUACGUAGGUGGCAAGCGUUGUCCGGAUUUACUGGGCGUAAAGGGCGUGCAGGCGGUUUG